rnacentral:rRNA from 1 species
GACGAACGCUGGCGGCGUGCUUAACACAUGCAAGUCGAACGGAAAGGCCCCUUUGGGGGUCCUCGAGUGGCGAACGGGUGAGUAACACGUGAGUAACCUGCCCUUGACUUCGGGAUAACUUCAGGAAACUGGGGCUAAUACCGGAUAGGAAUCCUUGCUGCAUGGUGGGGGUUGGAAAGCUUCGGCGGUUUUGGAUGGACUCGCGGCUUAUCAGCUUGUUGGUGGGGUAGUGGCUUACCAAGGCUUUGACGGGUAGCCGGCCUGAGAGGGCGACCGGCCACAGUGGGACUGAGAUACGGCCCAGACGCCUACGGGAGGCAGCAGUGGGGAAUAUUGCACAAGGGGCGGAAGCCUGAUGCAGCAACGCCGCGUGCGGGAUGACGGCCUUCGGGUUGUAAACCGCUUUCAGCAGGGGCGAAGCUUGUGGUGACGGUACCUGCAGAAGAAGCACCGGCUAACUACGUG